rnacentral:rRNA from 1 species
CCUACGGGUGGCAGCAGUGAGGAAUAUUGGUCAAUGGGCGCGAGCCUGAACCAGCCAAGUAGCGUGAAGGAUGACUGCCCUACGGGUUGUAAACUUCUUUUAUAAAGGAAUAAAGUGCGGCACGCGUCCCUUUUUGCAUGUACUUUAUGAAUAAGGAUCGGCUAACUCCGUGCCAGCAGCCGCGGUAAUACGGAGGAUCCGAGCGUUAUCCGGAUUUAUUGGGUUUAAAGGGUGCGUAGAUGGGUUGUUAAGUCAGUUGUGAAAGUUUGCGGCUCAACCGUAAAAUUGCAAUUGAUACUGGCAGCCUUGAGUACAGUUGAGGUAGGCGGAAUUCGUGGUGUAGCGGUGAAAUGCUUAGAUAUCACGAAGAACUCCGAUUGCGAAGGCAGCUUACUAAGCUGUCACUGACAUUGAUGCUCGAAAGUGUGGGUAUCGAACAGGAUUAGAUACCCGUGUAGUC